CCCCGCACAAGCAGCGGAGCGUGUGGUUUAAUUCGAUGCUACACGAAGAACCUUACCCGGGUUUGACAUGCAAGUGGUAGGAAACCGAAAGGUGACCGACCCUUCGGGGAGCUUGCACAGGUGCUGCAUGGCUGUCGUCAGCUCGUGUCGUGAGAUGUUCGGUUAAGUCCGCUAACGAGCGCAACCCUCGCUGUGUGUUAUAUGUGUCACACGGGACUGCCGGUCUUAAGCCGGAGGAAGGUGGGGAUGAUGUCAAAUCAUCAUGCCCCUUAUGACCUGGGCUACACACGUGCUACAAUGGUUGGUACAACGAGUUGCGAGUCGGUGACGGCGAGCUAAUCUCUUAAAGCCAAUCUCAGUUCGGAUUGUAGGCUGCAACUCGCCUACAUGAAGUCGGGAUCGCUAGUAAUCGUGGAUCAGCACGCCGCGGUGAAUACGUUCCCGGGCCUU
rnacentral:rRNA from 1 species